AAAAGCCCAGCAUCUUCCACCAUUGUCUCCUGCAGCUUGCACUCUGCCCGUGCUCCUCCAGCCUGGGGCUCCUUUUGGCGGAGGCCUGUGGGGGUGCAGGAGCGGGAGAGGCCACAGAGCCAGGAGCUCAGGGGGAGUUCCCAAACACUCCUCGGUGUGUCUCCUCCCUCCGCAUGAAAUCAACACGGUGUCCCGAAGCCUUAGCGCCCCUUCUCCCUCCCCGUGAGAUCGGAGGACUUCACCACCUUCACUGAGAGCCUGUUGACUCACCAAGCCACAGGAGUCUGCUUGCCCACAAGCCCAGAGAGUUGCAGCAUUUUUGAGUGACAUAUUGACAGACUGGCUUAUGGGGGGGCCGGCACAGUGGUGAAGCUGCCACCUUGAAUCUGCGGAUGGAAGACCUCUCUCUCUCUCUCUCUCUCUCUCUCUCUCUCU